CCUACGGGUGGCAGCAGUGAGGAAUAUUGGUCAAUGGACGCAAGUCUGAACCAGCCAUGCCGCGUGCAGGAAGACGGCUCUCUGAGUUGUAAACUGCUUUUGUACGAGGGUAAACGCAGAUACGUGUAUCUGUCUGAAAGUAUCGUACGAAUAAGGAUCGGCUAACUCCGUGCCAGCAGCCGCGGUAAUACGGAGGAUUCAGGCGUUAUCCGGAUUUAGUGGGUGUAAGGGGUGCGUAGGCGGUCGGCUAAGUUAGAGGUGAAAUCCCGAGGCUCAACUUCGGAAUUGCAUCUGAUACUGGGCGGCUAGAGAGUAGUUGAGGUAGGCGGAAUGUAUGGUGUAGCGGUGAAAUGCUUAGAGAUCAUACAGAACACCGAUUGCGAAGGCAGCUUACCAGGCUACUUCUGACGUUGAGGCACGAAAGCGUGGGGAGCAAACAGGAUUAGAUACCCUGGUAGUC
rnacentral:rRNA from 1 species